GCGCAUAUGGCGGAAUUGGUAGACGCGCUGCCUUGAGGGGGCAGUAUUCAUUAUGGAUGUGGAAGUUCGAAUCUUCUUAUGCGCACAA
rnacentral:tRNA from 1 species